AAUGAACGCUGGCGGCAGGCUUAACACAUGCAAGUCGAGCGCGAACGCACCUUCGGGUGUUAUUAGAGCGGCAAACGGGUGAGUAACACGUGGGAAUAUACCUUUCAGUUUGGAAUAGCCUUUGGAAACGAAGAUUAAUGCCGAAUACGCUCUACGGAGGAAAGAUUUAUCGCUGAAAGAUUAGCCCGCGCAACAUUAGCUAGUUGGUAAGGUAAUGGCUUACCAAGGCUACGAUGUUUAGUUGGUCUGAGAGGAUGAUCAGCCACACUGGGACUGAGAUACGGCCCAGACUCCUACGGGAGGCAGCAGUGAGGAAUAUUGCACAAUGGAGGAAACUCUGAUGCAGCCAUGCCGCGUGUGUGAUGAAGGCCUUAGGGUUGUAAAACACUUUAAGCAGGGAAGAUAAUGACGGUACCUGCAGAAUAAGCCCCGGCUAACUCCG
rnacentral:rRNA from 1 species